GAUGAACGCUGGCGGCGUGCCUAAUACAUGCAAGUCGAGCGAACAGACGAGGAGCUUGCUCCUCUGACGUUAGCGGCGGACGGGUGAGUAACACGUGGAUAACCUACCUAUAAGACUGGGAUAACUUCGGGAAACCGGAGCUAAUACCGGAUAAUAUAUUGAACCGCAUGGUUCAAUAGUGAAAGACGGUUUUGCUGUCACUUAUAGAUGGAUCCGCGCCGCAUUAGCUAGUUGGUAAGGUAACGGCUUACCAAGGCAACGAUGCGUAGCCGACCUGAGAGGGGGAUCGGCCACACUGGAACUGAGACACGGCCCAGACUCCUACGGGAGGCAGCAGUAGGGAAUCUUCCGCAAGGGGCGAAAGCCUGACGGAGCAACGCCGGGGGGGUGAUGAAGGUCUUCGGAUCGUAAAACUCUGUUAUUAGGGAAGAAAAAAUGUUUAAGUAACUAUGCACGUCUUGACGGUACCAAAUCAAAAAGCCCCGGCUAAAUACGU
rnacentral:rRNA from 1 species